rnacentral:rRNA from 1 species
GACGAACGCUGGCGGCGUGCUUAACACAUGCAAGUCGAACGGAGUGGCGAACGGGUGAGUAACACGUGGGUGGGCUGCCGUGCGAUUCGGGAGAAGCACGGGAGACUGGGGUGAAUACCGGAUAGUGUGGGAUGGGCCCGCGGCCUAUGGGCUUGUUGGUGGGGUAAGGGCCGACCAAGGCGGCGAGGGGUAGCCGGCCUGGGAGGGUGGACGGCCACCUUGGGCCUGCGACAGGGCCCAGUGUCCUACGGGGGGCAGCAGUGGGGAUUCUUACACAAUGGGGGAACCCCUGAUGCAGCAACGCCGCGUGCGGGAUGUCUGCCCUCGGGUUGUAAACCGCUUUCAGUCAUGACGCGGUAGUGGCAGAAGAAGCACCGGCUAACUCCGUGCCAGCAGCCGCGGUAAUAC